rnacentral:rRNA from 1 species
UACGUAGGGGGCAAGCGUUGUCCGGAAUUAUUGGGCGUAAAGCGCGCGCAGGCGGCCGAUUAAGUCUGGUGUUUAACCCCAGGGCUCAACCCUGGGUCGCACUGGAAACUGGUUGGCUUGAGUACAGAAGAGGAAAGUGGAAUUCCACGUGUAGCGGUGAAAUGCGUAGAGAUGUGGAGGAACACCAGUGGCGAAGGCGACUUUCUGGGCUGUAACUGACGCUGAGGCGCGAAAGCGUGGGGAGCAAACAGG